AGAGUAUCAUCUAUAUUGACAGGUUCGACUAGAACUGACUAGGUAUAAAAAGAUGCUGCAAUUUGGCAAGUAAAACAGAACAAAGUUUCGUAAAAUUAAAAGUUGUAGUUCUUGUUGCAAAACAGUAACUUAGUUUACAAGCCCGUUUUUAUUUAGUGAAUAGUGUUACAGUUCCACUCUAAUACUUUUAAUUUUAACUAAAUUUAAUUUUAAGCCUCAAUCACAAAGUCAAAGGGGAAUGGGUGAUUGAAAUAAAAUUGUCACAGUUUGUGAAACUGAAAGUGAAAACAGAAAAGGAAAGGGUGAGCUUGCAGGAAGGUCCAAAUGACCCUCUUCUGUGCAUAAUUUAUAAUGCUAGAAAUGUUUGGGAAUAUAUUUGGCCACACAAAACCAUCAUGUGCAAAUACUUCUUUACCAGUUGAUAAGGAAGGAAACAAAGCACAGACAGUAAAUAGUUUUGUUCUUUUGGGUCAAGAGAUGUCAUUAGGAAAUACAACUAUUACAGAAAGAGACAGUGUGGAUCUGUCACUUCCAUACUCUGUACAGUACACCACUGGAAGUGGAGUAGAAAAUGCAGGCAGGAUGAGGACCAAGUGAUAUUUGUAUGCUUUCAACAACAGACCUAAUAACUACCAAUGUGGCUGCCAGUAAGGGAACUUAGAACACUAGC
rnacentral:lncRNA from 1 species